GGGCUGGGGGCUCAGUUGGUAGAGUGCAUGCCUCGUAUGCACAAGACCCUGGGUUCAAUCCCCAGCACCACA
rnacentral:tRNA from 1 species